ACACUCCUGCGGGAGGCAGCAGUGGGGAAUUUUGGACAAUGGGCGAAAGCCUGAUCCAGCAAUGCCGCGUGUGUGAAGAAGGCCUUCGGGUUGUAAAGCACUUUUGUCCGGAAAGAAAUCCUUGGCUCUAAUACAGUCGGGGGAUGACGGUACCGGAAGAAUAAGCACCGGCUAACUACGUGCCAGCAGCCGCGGUAAUACGUAGGGUGCGAGCGUUAAUCGGAAUUACUGGGCGUAAAGCGUGCGCAGGCGGUUUGCUAAGACCGAUGUGAAAUCCCCGGGCUCAACCUGGGAACUGCAUGGGUGACUGGCAGGCGAGAGUAUGGCAGAGGGGGGUAGAAUUCCACGUGGAGCAGUGAAAUGCGUAGAGAUGUGGAGGAAUACCGAGGGCAAAGGCAGCCCCCUGGGCCAAUACUGACGCUCAUGCACGAAAGCGUGGGGAGCAAACAGGAUUAGAAACCCGUGUAGUCCC
rnacentral:rRNA from 1 species